CUGACGUUGCGGCCGGUGUAACGGCCUUCACUCUCAGGAAGGCCGGUCCACCGGCCGCAACGUCAG
rnacentral:pre_miRNA from 1 species